rnacentral:rRNA from 1 species
CUUAAGCAUGCAAGUCGAACGGCAAGAGGUAGCAAUACCUCCUAGAGUGGCGGACUGGUGAGUAACACGUGGGUGACAUACCCUUCAGAUGGGGAUAGCUAUUAGAAAUAGUAGAUAAUACCGAAUACGAGCACAGGGGUUAGAGAUCUGUGAGGAAAGGAGCUAAGGCUCCGCUGAAGGAAUGGCCUGCGGCCCAUUAGCUAGUUGGUGAGGUAAGAGCCCACCAAGGCGAUGAUGGGUAUCCGGCCUUAGAGGGUGAACGGACACAUUGGGACUGAGAUACGGCCCAGACUCCUACGGGAGGCAGCAGCUAAGAAUAUUCCGCAAUGGACGAAAGUCUGACGGAGCGACGCCGCGUGGAUGAAGAAGGCCGGAAGGUUGUAAAAUCCUUUUGAAACUGAAGAAUAAGCGUUGUAGGGAAUGACAGCGUGUGACAGUAGGUUUUGAAUAAGCAACGGCUAAUUACGUGCCAGCAGCCGC